AUCUGGUGAGGGCGGAAGUCAUGAAAAAUGGAUUCUAUGAGAAGAAACUUCUGCAUUCCACUGUCAGCCAGACUCUGAGGAGCUUGAUUUAUUUUCCUGGAAGAUAAAUAAUAAUAAUACUCUUCAGAUAAUCAGAAAGAGAAAUAACUCAGAAAUGGAGCAUGAGAUCUGGGAAAUAAAAGAGCACAAGCAAUUAAGAAGCAAUGAAGAACAUAGUUGGCAUGGUUAUUGAUAAAUGCAGAUAAGU